GACGAACGCUGGCGGCGUGCUUAACACAUGCAAGUCGAACGGAAAGGCCCUGCUUUUGUGGGGUGCUCGAGUGGCGAACGGGUGAGUAACACGUGAGUAACCUGCCCUUGACUUUGGGAUAACUUCAGGAAACUGGGGCUAAUACCGGAUAGGAGCUCCUGCUGCAUGGUGGGGGUUGGUAAGUUUCGGCGGUUGGGGAUGGACUCGCGGCUUAUCAGCUUGUUGGUGGGGUAGUGGCUUACCAAGGCUUUGACGGGUAGCCGGCCUGAGAGGGUGACCGGCCACAUUGGGACUGAGAUACGGCCCAGACUCCUACGGGAGGCAGCAGUGGGGAAUAUUGCACAAUGGGCGGAAGUCUGAUGCAGCAACGCCGCGUGCGGGAUGACGGCCUUCGGGUUGUAAACCGCUUUCGCCUGUGACGAAGCGUGAGUGACGGUAAUGGGUAAAGAAGCACCGGCUAACUACGUG
rnacentral:rRNA from 1 species